rnacentral:ncRNA from 2 species
UGCCACACCUCGGGGUGUCCCAUCGGGACUGAGAUGCGCCAAUGCGGCGUAAACCCGUCGAACCUGAACCGGAUUAUACCGGCGGAGGGAAGGCAGCCGACACGGGU